rnacentral:snRNA from 1 species
CUCCACUUUUAUUAAGUAUUUAU